UACGGAGGGUGCAAGCAUUGAUCGGAAUUAUUGGGCGUAAAGGGCGCGUAGGCGGCUUAUUAAGUCAGAUGUGAAAUUUCGCGGCUCAACUGCGAAGCUGCAUUUGAAACUAAUAGGCUAGAGGGUAGUUAGGGAAAACGGAAUUCCACGUGUAGCGGUGGAAUGCGUAGAUAUGUGGAAGAACACCGGUGGUGAAGACGGUUUUCUGGGCUAUACCUGACGCUGAGGCGCGAAAGCUAGGGGAGCAAACAGG
rnacentral:rRNA from 1 species